GUUCCAACGGCAUGUGUUAUGUCAGCCUGGAGUCAGCAGGAAUAAGAGAAAUACCAAACACCAAAUAAUGUUUUUGAGAUCAGAGAUGCAGAACGGGUUAGAAAAGGGAAUGCAAAUGCAGUCCAAGUACAGUAAGCUUUGUUUAUUUGGUUUCCAUGGUGAUGGUUUCACUCCCCCCGCCCCGUGCCCCUGUGACGGAUCCUGGGCGCCGGCGGCUGCCGAUGACGUCAUGUGGACUCCGGAGCAGGCGGCUGCGGCGGUUCCCGAUGCACGUGGCCAGAAGGUUACACCGAUGCCGCUGGAUGACUAAGAGCAAUAUCAUACCCUGGCUUGGACAUUCUCUGGAGUUCUAUCCACAUGAAGUUAUCAAUGGUACUGAUAGGUGACCAGUCAGAACCAGUAUUAUUAACAACGGGCUUUUGGAAGAUUGCAACUGCAGUUGUGCAGUAAGGAUGUGCAAAAUUCAGUAAAAAUCCUUGCCACCCUGAAAAGUACACAGAUCCAUUCCGAAGCGAUCACAUACAGUAACUGCAUACACAAUUGCAGCACACAUGCAGAUCCUUCAAUAUUCAGCAGGUCAAAUUAAUCAAUGGUCAUGCAGCAUAGUAGCCUGAAAGUAGAUGCUGGAGCAAUGCUUGGAAGAAGAUGCUUGGAUUAAAUAAAAACAGGACAUGGUUCAGGAAUGUGUAAUUACAUUGAAAAUGGAUUGAACCUGCAUGUACUAUUGUACUAUGUUUAUUUAAUAACAUCACAUACAGUAUGUUCACAUGAAAUGGUUUCCUGAAACUGGAUAUGCCCCACCUGCCCUAGCUGUCAUCUGGCUGCUAGUCAGUGUCAGAAGCCCUGCCCACUGGAUGCCACAAUCCUAUUAUACUUUCACACAUUGCAGAGUAAUCACACCCAGGUAUUGCAGCUGUGCAUAAAACCUUUCCUGUAGGAAAAGGCAGAUUCGUAAGCCUGUCCCAUGGCUGUGGCAUCUCAUUGGGUGCUGAUCAAAUAAAUAAAUAAAUAUCAUAGAACACAGUUAUCAGUAUCAUGACUCCACCAGGGGCUUAAUGACACUGGAAAUAUCAGCAUACCAUCUUGAGGGGUCAUUCCAACCUGAUCACUAGCAGGCUACUUUUAGCACUGCUGCGAUCAGGUAGUCGCCGCCUACAGGGGAGAAGGGAAUCGGUGUGCAGGGCUGCGCUCGCUUGUGCAGAGAGCUGCACAAACAAAAGUUUGUGCAGUUUCUGCACAGCUCAUGACUUAGUCACCCGCUGCGAUCAUCCAGGACGGAGCUGACGUCAGGAUCCCUCCCUGGAAAUGGCUGGGCACGCCUGCAUUCGGACGGACACUCCCUGAAAGUGGUCAGUUGAUGCCUCUGGCCAACCUCUUCCUGUCAAUCUUCUUGCGUUCGCAGGUGCGAUCACUUUAUUCGUUAUUUAUGUCGCUCCCUGGCAACGGCCGUCACAGGGAGUGACGAGCCUGCGCAUUGUGACCCAUGCACAGGCGCACUACAGACCUGAUCGCACCACUGCAAAAAACGGCAGCGUGCAAUCAGGUCGGAAUGACCCCCCUAGUGUAAAAUCCUUAAUCCAUUUAGUGCAAUAAACCAAUAUAGGAACAUGCAACCAUAUUGUAUUUAAGCCUAUUGUAUGUGCAUAAUAGCUGGCAGUCCUUGACAAAGGUGUUAGCACACUGAAAUGGCUGUUGGACUUUCUGUGAGCAUGAACAAUAUACCCUGAAUGCUGCCUUGACUGUGAUACAUACUAUUUUGAUCUGUUUUGCUGUAUUGCAUUAAAUGGAUUAACAAUUUUUGCACUAAACUGUGUGUAUGUUUAGUUGUUGAUGCUUCUGCAAAAUGUAGUAUAUAUCAGCGAAAGUAAUACUAUAUACUUAAGUAUAUUAUAAGUGGGAAAUGUGCUCUCUAAAAAUAAGGAUUGUUCUUAUGGAUUACCUGAGCUCCAAGUUUAUUUUCUUUUUUUUUCACGCUGAUAAAUAUAUC